CUACAGGAUGCCUGCUUCUCCCUCUGCCUGUGUCUCUGCCUCUCUCAUGAAAUAAUAAAUAAAAUCUUAAAAAAAAAAGUAAUGAAUGUUAAAAAAAAAUCCAUGAUGAACAAAAAUAUCAAAACUUUAAAGACAAGAUCGGUCACAGGGCUCUGCCAACCUGUCCUGCCCGGAACCUAAAGCAGAAGCAAAAAUCAGCAAUACUGAUGGUGUCUUUGUUCGUUUUGACUCGUCAGAUUUUUGGCAGUUGCUCUCCACCAUCUUAAACAUUGCUCUGGAGGCGGUCACUGGGAUUUUCUAUUUGAAGAUUCCUGUCCCCCCAUCAUUUCAGCUUCUGCACCCUCAAUCUGGCUCUGAUUACCGGUUGCUGCCACCCACCCGCAGACUAACAAACGUGGAACAGCUGUGCCGCAGGAAAUCGCCUCCAACUCAACCCUGAUGCUGCAGGGAUGUCUUUAGUUAACAUAAAUAGGCUUUUAACAUUCAUUUUUUUCUCUUUGUGCAAAAUACCUAUCAUUAAUUCUGACUUGUGAGAUCAAACAGUUAACAACGUGUUGAUCCUAGCUUACUUUCAAGUGAUGUAUUGUAUCAUUUCGGAGAGUUAUGGGGGGUUGAUACUUUCUUUGACAAACACAUCCAAGUCCACCAGAGAAGGGCUAACCAGCAUCCCGGGGAAGGAAGCAAUUAACAGCUCCACCCCGAGGGUUCCGAGCACCAUUGCGUCAUUCCUCCGUGUUUUAUUAAACACUGCCUUUUUCUUUA